UACGUAGGGGGCUAGCGUUGUCCGGAAUCAUUGGGCGUAAAGCGCGUGUAGGCGGUCCGGUAAGUCCGCUGUGAAAGCCAGGGGCUCAACCCUUGGAUGCCGGUGGAUACUGUCGGGCUUGAGUACGGAAGAGGCGAGUGGAAUUCCUGGUGUAGCGGUGAAAUGCGCAGAUAUCGGGAGGAACACCAGUAGCGAAGGCGGCUCGCUGGGCCGUUCCUGACGCUGAGACGCGAAAGCUAGGGGAGCGAACAGG
rnacentral:rRNA from 1 species